rnacentral:rRNA from 1 species
AGUGAACGCUGGCGGUAGGCCUAACACAUGCAAGUCGAACGGCAGCACAGUAAGAGCUUGCUCUUACGGGUGGCGAGUGGCGGACGGGUGAGGAAUACAUCGGAAUCUACUUUUUCGUGGGGGAUAACGUAGGGAAACUUACGCUAAUACCGCAUACGACCUACGGGUGAAAGCAGUGGAUCUUCGGACCUUGCGCGAUUGAAUGAGCCGAUGUCGGAUUAGCUAGUUGGCGGGGUAAAGGCCCACCAAGGCGACGAUCCGUAGCUGGUCUGAGAGGAUGGUAAGCCACACUGGAACUGAGACACGGUCCAGACUCCUACGGGAGGCAGCAGUGGGGAAUAUUGGACAAUGGGCGCAAGCCUGAUCCAGACAUACCGCGUGGGUGAAGAAGGCCUUCGGGUUGUAAAGCCCUUUUGUUGGGAAAGAAAAGCAGCAGGUUAAUACCACGCUGUUCUGACGGUACCCAAAGAAUAAGCACCGGCUAACUUCGUG